GCCUUGACUUCAUUAUCUCAUAUCCUACACGUAUGAUGGAUCCGUUGUUUUUCUGGAAAUAAUUAUGAAGUGAGCGGGGCAACACAAAACAUCUGCCUACGAGCUACGACGGAGGCUCGAGUCGAAGCCAAAAAGCUCCAGUGGAGAGAAACAUAGCGACUGCGUCUUUCUACUUCCUGGGUUGAGUCAACAUAUCGAAAUCUCACACCAAAUCCUCCUGUUACUUGCAAUUUCUUCAUCCUACUCAAAGAUCUAUGCGGAUUUUGGGGGCAUUAGGGAUCUGAGAAUCGAUGGAGAGAGAGCUGGUGGAGUUGUUUGAGGCCACGAAGAAAGCCGCUGAUGCCGCUGCCAGU
rnacentral:misc_RNA from 1 species